CCCAACUAUCCCUAUUAAUCAUUACGUCGAUCCUAGAAACCAACAAAAUAGGGUCAAACGUCCUAUUUCAUUAUUCCAUGCUAAUGUAUUCAAGCGUGUGCCUGCUUUAAACACUCUAAUUUUUUCAAAGUAACAGUCCUGAUUCCCCAUGACACCAAAUUAAUGACAUCACAGUUCGUCAGAAGGUAGAAAUCAAUAAUACCAGUGCAUACCGGAGGCACGACCAAUAUAUUGAUCCCGAAAUUCAACUACGAGCUUUUUAACUGCAACAACUUUAAUAUACGCUAUUGGAGCUGGAAUUACCGCGGCUGCUGGCACCAGACUUGCCCUCCAA
rnacentral:misc_RNA from 1 species